AUGAACGCUAGCUACAGGCUUAACACAUGCAAGUCGAGGGGCAGCAUGGUCUUAGCUUGCUAAGGCCGAUGGCGACCGGCGCACGGGUGAGUAACACGUAUCCAACCUGCCGUCUACUCUUGGACAGCCUUCUGAAAGGAAGAUUAAUACAAGAUGGCAUCAUGAGUCCACAUGUUCACAUGAUUAAAGGUAUUCCGGUAGACGAUGGGGAUGCGUUCCAUUAGAUAGUAGGCGGGGUAACGGCCCACCUAGUCUUCGAUGGAUAGGGGUUCUGAGAGGAAGGUCCCCCACAUUGGAACUGAGACACGGUCCAAACUCCUACGGGAGGCAGCAGUGAGGAAUAUUGGUCAAUGGGCGAGAGCCUGAACCAGCCAAGUAGCGUGAAGGAUGACUGCCCUAUGGGUUGUAAACUUCUUUUAUAAAGGAAUAAAGUCGGGUAUGCAUACCCGUUUGCAUGUACUUUAUGAAUAAGGAUCGGCUAACUCCGUGCCAGCAGCCGCGGUAAUACGGAGGAUCCGAGCGUUAUCCGGAUUUAUUGGGUUUAAAGGGAGCGUAGAUGGAUGUUUAAGUCAGUUGUGAAAGUUUGCGGCUCAACCGUAAAAUUGCAGUUGAUACUGGAUAUCUUGAGUGCAGUUGAGGCAGGCGGAAUUCGUGGUGUAGCGGUGAAAUGCUUAGAUAUCACGAAGAACUCCGAUUGCGAAGGCAGCCUGCUAAGCUGCAACUGACAUUGAGGCUCGAAAGUGUGGGUAUCAAACAGGAUUAGAUACCCUGGUAGUCCACACGGUAAACGAUGAAUACUCGCUGUUUGCGAUAUACAGCAAGCGGCCAAGCGAAAGCGUUAAGUAUUCCACCUGGGGAGUACGCCGGCAACGGUGAAACUCAAAGGAAUUGACGGGGGCCCGCACAAGCGGAGGAACAUGUGGUUUAAUUCGAUGAUACGCGAGGAACCUUACCCGGGCUUAAAUUGCAGAUGAAUUACGGUGAAAGCCGUAAGCCGCAAGGCAUUUGUGAAGGUGCUGCAUGGUUGUCGUCAGCUCGUGCCGUGAGGUGUCGGCUUAAGUGCCAUAACGAGCGCAACCCUUGUUGUCAGUUACUAACAGGUUCCGCUGAGGACUCUGACAAGACUGCCAUCGUAAGAUGUGAGGAAGGUGGGGAUGACGUCAAAUCAGCACGGCCCUUACGUCCGGGGCUACACACGUGUUACAAUGGGGGGUACAGAGGGCCGCUACCACGCGAGUGGAUGCCAAUCCCAAAAACCUCUCUCAGUUCGGACUGGAGUCUGCAACCCGACUCCACGAAGCUGGAUUCGCUAGUAAUCGCGCAUCAGCCACGGCGCGGUGAAUACGUUCCCGGGCCUUGUACACACCGCCCGUCAAGCCAUGGGAGCCGGGGGUACCUGAAGUGCGUAACCGCGAGGAGCGCCCUAGGGUAAAACUGGUGACUGGGGCU
rnacentral:rRNA from 1 species